rnacentral:rRNA from 1 species
UGAGAGGAUGAUCAGUCACACUGGAACUGACACACGGUCCAGACUCCUACGGGAGGCAGCCGUGGGGAAUAUUGGACAAUGGGCGAAAGCCUGAUCGAGCCAUGCCGCGUGUGUGAAGAAGGUCUUCGGAUUGGAAAGAACUUUAAGUUGGGAGGAUGGGUUGUAGCUAAUACGCUGCAACUUUGACGUUCCCAACCGGAAUAAGCACCGUCAAUUUUGUCCUGGCAGCCGCCUCCUACGGAGGGUGCAGCGUGAGUUGGGAAUUACUGNGGAAAGAGGGCGU